CAUUAGCCACACUUGGCUAUCUUGCUCCAGAGUAUGGACUGGAAGGACAAGUAUCAACAAAAUGCGAUGUUUACAGUUUUGGAAUCAUGAUUAUGGAAGUCUUUACAA